CCUACGGGAGGCAGCAGUGAGGAAUAUUGGUCAAUGGGCGCAAGCCUGAUCCAGCCAAGUAGCGUGAAGGAUGACUGCCCUACGGGUUGUAAACUUCUUUUAUAAAGGAAUAAAGUGAGGCACGUGUGCCUUUUUGUAUGUACUUUAUGAUUAAGGAUCGGCUAACUCCGUGCCAGCAGCCGCGGUAAUACGUAGGAUCCGAGCGUUAUCGGGAUUUAUUGGGUUUAAAGGGUGCGUAGAUGGGUUGUUAAGUCAGUUGUGAAAGUUUGUGGCUCAACCGUAAAAUUGCAAUUGAUACUGGGCGCCUUGAGUACAGUGGAGGUAGGCGGAAUUCGUGGUGUAGCGGUGAAAUGCUUAGAUAUCACGAAGAACUCCGAUUGCGAAGGCAGCCUACUAAACUGCCACUGACAUUGAUGCUCGAAAGUGUGGGUAUCAAACAGGAUUAGAUACCCCAGUAGUC
rnacentral:rRNA from 1 species